UACGAAGGGGGCUAGCGUUGCUCGGAAUCACUGGGCGUAAAGCGCACGUAGGCGGAUCUUUAAGUCAGUGGUGAAAUCCUGGAGCUCAACUCCAGAACUGCCUUUGAUACUGGGGAUCUCGAGUCCGGAAGAGGUGAGUGGAACUCCGAGUGUAGAGGUGAAAUUCGUAGAUAUUCGGAAGAACACCAGUGGCGAAGGCGGCUCACUGGUCCGGUACUGACGCUGAGGUGCGAAAGCGUGGGGAGCAAACAGG
rnacentral:rRNA from 1 species